rnacentral:lncRNA from 1 species
AGGCGUGAGCCACCACGCCCGGCCAGCAGGCACCUCUUAUGCUUGCUUUGAAAAUAUACUUACGAGCCAUUUGAAGUGCUGGCUCCUCCUUGGCCUUCUGGCAUGAUUGUAAGUUUCCUGAGGCCUCCCUAGAAGAUGAGUACAUGGCAGCAUCAUGCUUCCUGUACAGCCUGCAGAACUGUGAGUCAAUUAAAAUUCUUCUUUAUAAACUACUUGGUCUCAGGUAUUUGUUUAUUUAUAGCAAUGCAAGAACAAUCUAAUACAAGGCCUUAUCAGACACUGAAUCUGCUCAUGCCUUGAUCUUGGACUUCUCAGUCUCCAGAACUGUGAGAAAUAAAGGCUUGAGCCACUCGUCUGUGAUAUUUUAGUUAUAGCAAUAAAAAAGGACUAAGACAACCACUAUGCCUGUGGUGGCACUGUGAACAGAGACAGAAGGAACAUGGAAAUAUCUAGAUCUGUGUGCUGAUACCACUUUUCCACAUUAUUCUCCU